ACUAAUCCACCGACAAAAGUGCAAUUUUGUUACGAGUCAUUUUGAUUCAAAAGAUAAAAUAUUUUUGUGAAAUAGAUCUAAGCUCACAACAAUCAUACGAUGAUGAAGAAGUUAUGGGAGAAAUUACCUGCAACAUUAAAAAUAUCAGUGACAUCAUCUUAAAGAAUAAAAUGGCCUCUACCGAAGGUAUGCCAUUAUGUAUCUUCAGUAGUAUUGUGAUUUUGAAUCUCUACAUUAUUAUGUAUCUACUGCUUAUUUGUGCAAUUUGAUACAUAAUAUUCAUAUAUCAGAUCAUAUUCUACCCUUACAGAUUGAUAUGCAUAUGUAAAAGAUACAUAAUAUUUAUGUAUCAGAUUUCAUUAUUGCCUAUCAAAUACAUAAUUGAUGAAAAUAUACAUAACAUUUAUAUAGCAGGAAAACCCACAUUUUCAGCAGAUAAAUAAUCUAAAGAAACAUACAUAGUAUAUGUUAUCACGUGUUAUAUAUUACAUUUUAUAAUGUGUAAAGGAUACAUAAUAUUUGUUUUAAUUGAUUUGUUUUUGCCAGGCAUGAAAUAUAUUGUUAAACAUAUUCCACCUCAUCCUUUAAGAUUUGACAGCUCAUGCAACCAACAUUUUCUAACUGAUUUUGUUCAUAUUUCGAGAAAGGAGAUCAUUGAUUUAUUUUAAAAACAUAUUUUGGUAUUUAUCUGAAUAAACCAAAUUAUAAGUUCACCGAUCAGAUAACCAAAUGCAUUUUAAUGCUAUUUAUAACAGGAUAAUGUUGAUGAUGUUCAUGUAUGGGUCAAAUAUAAUAUUCUCAAAUUUUUCAUAUUUAAAUUUGCUAUUAAUAUCGACUUGAAAUGCACUGGUAAUACAUCAAAUUUUGAGUACCUAGAUUUACCUUCGAGUAUUUUGAUGGGAAUGUAUUUUCCUGAAAAAGAUGUGUUAGUAAGGACAAAUUUUGUUGAACAUUUCAAGUUUGGUAUUUCGACAAUGAUCAGGAUGCGCUCAAGAUGGGUAUCUUGUACUUUAUUCAUACUUUUAUUCUCUCCCAAAUGAACGAUUCACCUAUGAGUGUUGUAGACUUUAAGAUGGUUGAAUACGGGAGAUAUAGAAAUUAUUCAUGGAGAAAGAUUGCUUUCAACAAAUUGAUGCAUACACUUAGACAAGAUGUGAAUGUUGUAAAAAAAUUUAUCGAUUAGGAGACAUGCCACAUAGACAAAAUUUACAGAUGCAUGAAUGUUGCUCUAUAGUUGAGGGAAAGGUGGUUGUCCGUUAGAGUGACAUUAUUCCAAGGAUACUUAAUUGAAAAGUUAUUGAAGUCUGACCGCAAUAUGAAUAUUUUAUGGGAGAAUAUUUAGCAAGAUAUAUCUCGUAUUCUUUUUCUUUAAAGUAUUUUUUUUACGUUAGUACAUCACACAUAAUAAACUAAUAGUUUAGUAUAUUUUGAUCGACAAAAGAUACAUAAACUUUUAAAACCAUAAAAAAACACAUACGUCAUACAUUUUUAAUUGUUGAAUUAAUUUUUUAUCAGAUUAUUUGCUGAUACAUAGUGUUAUUGUAUUAUAAAAUCUAUUUUUUAUGAUUUUUUUAAAACAUACUUUACACUCUAUGCACACCAACUUAAUUCCUACAAAAGAGGAAAUUACCAAUCUUGACUUGCCAACCCCUACUGCUAUUCUGUCGUUUGAUCAUGCGACAUUAUUUAUAUCUAUAUCUUCUGUUCCUAUGUGUGAAAAAAUAAUUACUAAAGAUACGGAUAUUUCUGUUGCAUUGGAAGAUUAUGAUUUUGAUGAAGUUAGUAAAAAAUCACUUGUUGAUUUGCUAAACAAGGUAGCUUCUAGUACCAAUUUGGCCCCACUGCUAAAGAGAAAAAAAAGUGAUCCACUACCAAAAAAAAGUUAUUCAACGAUAAACAAGUAAGACAACAAUAGAUUCUACCAAAUAAAAACAUGUUGCAGGUACUUUAAAAGGUCCUCAUUUUCGCAUUGAUGAUUCUCCUAUUGACACACCACUUGGGGUUGUUCAAGCUAAAGUGGCCUUUAUUAGUGGCGUUACAUCCCCUGAUUUUCCAAGUGUUCAGUUUCAAUCAUAAGGAGGAGGUUCGCAGUCAUGCAUGUUCGAAAAUCCACAUGAUACUACUUCCAACAGUCAUGAUCAAUACUUGGUAAAAAUAGUUAUCGGUACAUUAAAGCACUAUGUAAGUGUCUAUUGACUUUUAUUAUUUAAAAUCAAUAAUGUAAGAUUCAAACUUAGUACAUAUUUGUUUAUGUUUUAGGUUGAUAAAAAAUUCAUCCACCUAGAGACUUUAGUCCCUAAACAAUACACGAACAUUGAUGCCCAUGGGUUCAUGAAACUUUUGAAGCUUAGAACUAGAAAAUAUUCAAGUAUUAGGUGUGUUUUUUUAGAUACGAUGUGCUUUGUGUUCAUACUGUACGAAACUAGGUUUUGGAGCUCAAACAGAGAAAAAAAGUUGAAGUUGAGUAAGAAGCCCAACCUGCAAGCCUACCCACAUUGGGUGGGUACUACAAAAGUGGCAUGGGUUGCUUUGUGGUUCUCAAAAACUGGAGAAUCAGGGAACUUGAAAGUUGAAAUUUUCUUUAACACUCACGAUGGAGGAACUUACGGGGUGUGGAUGGCACUUGCGCCUUGUAAGUGCCAUCGUAAGUCACCUACUGAAGCUUAUCAAGAUCUCUAAGGUUUCUCUACUACUCACGACACUACCCACGUGGAAUGGGUGCCACUUACAAACAGUAAGCUGGAUCAUAAGUGGCCACUGACGCAAGUUUCCCUGUUCUUUUUGGUUUAGAUUCUAUGAAUUAAUAUGUAAUCUAUAAAUAUUCUUUUGAAGUUUUUGUAGUUAAUUUAUGAAAGUUUACGUACUUAUUAUAUUCAAAAUCCUAAAUUUGAUUCUAAGAUUGACUUUUGAUCUUUUAAUCUCUUUGCUC
rnacentral:lncRNA from 1 species